GUGGGGAAUUUUGGACAAUGGGCGCAAGCCUGAUCCAGCAAUGCCGCGUGAGUGAAGAAGGCCUUCGGGUUGUAAAGCUCUUUCAGUUGAGAAGAAAAAAUUGUGACUAAUAAUCACAAUUGAUGACGGUAUCAACAGAAGAAGCACCGGCUAACUACGUGCCAGCAGCCGCGGUAAUACGUAGGGUGCGAGCGUUAAUCGGAAUUACUGGGCGUAAAGGGUGCGCAGGCGGUUUUGUAAGUCAGAUGUGAAAUCCCCGGGCUUAACCUGGGAAUUGCGUUUGAAACUACAAAACUAGAGUGUAGCAGAGGGAGGUGGAAUUCCAUGUGUAGCAGUGAAAUGCGUAGAGAUAUGGAAGAACAUCGAUGGCGAAGGCAGCCUCCUGGGUUAACACUGACGCUCAUGCACGAAAGCGUGGGGAGCAAACAGGAUUAGAAACCCUAGUAGUCC
rnacentral:rRNA from 1 species